AUAGAACAUUCUUAUCCCCCCCUCUAUGUAGAUAGAACUUCCUUAUCCCCCCUCCCCCAUGUAGAUAGAACAUCCUUAUCUCCCCUCCUCUAUGUAGAUAGAACAUCCUUAUCUCCCCUCCACUAUGUAGAUAGAACAUCCUUAUCUCCCCUCCACUAUGUAGAUAGAACAUCCUUCACACCCCUCCUCUAUGUAGAUAGAACAUUCUUAUCCCCCCUCCUCUAUGUAGAUAGAACAUGCUUAUCCCCUCUACACUAUGUAUAUAGAACAUUCUUAUCCCCCCUCCUCUAUGUAGAUAGAACAUGCUUAUCCCCUCUACACUAUGUAUAUAGAACAUCCUUAUCCCCCCUCCUCUAUGUAGAUAGAACAUCCUUAUCCCCCUCCCCUCUAUGUAGAUAG
rnacentral:lncRNA from 1 species